UCUCCUCUUUUCCAGCCUUCUGCCAUGACGUCGGAUAGGGGUGCACUUUAACCAGACUACAAGUUGGGGGAGUCCCUGAUCGCCAGGAGACUGGAGGCCAGAAGAUGUCCGCUCACUUUGCUGUGCCACUCCUGAGACCGGCCCCUGGAAGAAAACACACACAAAAAAUCUCUCAGCAAAGAAAGGUGUCCAGCUCUCCUUAUCACAAUUUGAUAGAAAACAGUUUUGGGGACCACAGAGAGCCUAGAGAGUGUUUGGAUCAUUACCUGGUAUCUGUUCGACAGAGGUGUGUCAGUCGGGUCUUCCUGGCUCCUGUGGGCUCCAGCAGGAAGAGACAGGAGUGGACGUGGGCCCUAAUCCCCUCCGACAGCACUUUAGGAUGCUCA